GACAGAGGGUGCAAGCGUUGUUCGGAAUCAUUGGGCGUAAAGGGCGCGUAGGCGGCCUUGCAAGUCGGAUGUGAAAGCCCGGGGCUCAACCUCGGACGUGCAUCCGAUACUGCUUGGCUUGAGUGCCGGAGAGGGUGGUGGAAUUCCCAGUGUAGAGGUGAAAUUCGUAGAUAUUGGGAGGAACACCGGUGGCGAAGGCGACCACCUGGACGGUGACUGACGCUGAGGCGCGAAAGCGUGGGUAGCAAACAGG
rnacentral:misc_RNA from 1 species